CCUACGGGGGGCAGCAGUGGGGGAUAUUGGACAAUGGGGGCAACCCUGAUCCAGCGACGCCGCGUGAGUGAAGAAGUAUUUCGGUAUGUAAAGCUCUAUUAGCAGGGAAGAAAGAAAUGACGGUACCUGAGUAAGAAGCCCCGGCUAACUACGUGCCAGCAGCCGCGGUCAUACGUAGGGGGCAAGCGUUAUCCGGAAUUACUGGGUGUAAAGGGCGCGUAGACGGUAAUGCAAGUCUGGAGUGAAAGGCGGGGGCUCAACCCCCGGACUGCUCUGGAUACUGUGUAACUGGAGUGCAGGAGAGGCAGGCGGAAUUCCUAGUGUAGCGGUGAAAUGCGUAGAUAUUAGGAGGAACACCAGUGGCGAAGGCGGCCUGCUGGACUGUAACUGACGUUGAGGCUCGAAAGCGUGGGGAGCAAACAGGAUUAGAUACCCCAGUAGUC
rnacentral:rRNA from 1 species